ACAUAUGAAAAAAAUGAUAAAAAUAGUUUUUUUUUUUAGUGGAAUCAUAGAGUAAUUAUUAUUUUUUUCUUUUUUAAUAUGUUAUGAUUAAUUGGAUAUAACACAUUAUAUCAAUAUCUAUAAAAAAAAAAAAAAAAUUCGAAAUAUAUAUAAAUUGGGUACAUGCACAUAUAAUAGAUAUGUGUACUUAUAAUUUUUUCUCCUAGCACUUUAAAGAGUCCUAAUUUUGCUUUUCAUAAUUUUCGAUUAUUUUAUUCUACUCUCUUUUUUUUUUUUUUAUUUAUUAUAUAUUUUACCAGCGUGCUCACUCUUUAACUCUAAAGUUAGAAAUAUUUUUUAAAAAAGAAAAAAUAAAUAAAAGCUCUUUUUCUUUGUGUUUUUUUAUAUAUAAAAUAAAAAAAAAAAAAAAAAAAAUUAAAAAUUAUCAAUUACUUGUUAUCAUACCAAUAAUAUAAGAAAGAAAGAAGAAAAAAAAAAAAAAAAAAAAAAAAAAAAAAAAAACAGACACAUUUAUAGAUAUAGAAACAAUAACGCAAUAUAGGACAAGCGUAUAUUAUAAAUUUUUAUAAAAGUAGAGACGUUAGCUAUCUUAUAAGUUCUUAUAUAUAUAUAUAUAUAUACAUGCAUGUCCCGAAUAAAUGAAUUCACAAGUGUUCAAAGGUAUUUUUUAUAAAGACUGCUCUUUAUAUGCUGGUGAAUACAUAGUGGAUGAAGAUCUAACAAAUAAAAAUUUUUCAAAUGAUAAAGAAGAUGAAUCGGGUAAAAGAAAGAAGGCUUUACAACAUGAUAACAUUAAAGAAAGUAAAAAAACAAGUAACUUGAGUAAAAAAAAAGUAGAAAAUGAAAAUGAUGACAAAAAUAAUGACCGAACAGAUAAAGUUAAUGAGCAAUUAGACAAAAGCAACGAACAUGUUGAUAAAUACAAUGAGCAAAAAAGUAAAUCCAUCAUAUUUCAAGGAAAUGGAAAGUAUAUAAAAAAAAAUGAAAUAUUCACUGGUGUUUUUAAUAAUAAUAACUAUAAAUAUGGAAUAUGGAUAAAAUAUAAAAAUAUACAUAAUUUGUUUUUUUACAUGAACAUAUAUGAUGUGUUAUCAAAGGAAAGUAAACUAAAUCAAACAGAUCUAAUAAAUGAAGUCAACCAAAUAAAUGACAAAACAAAAUCUUUAAAUUUUAAAAAUUUGUUAUUUGUACCAUUAAAAGAGGUUAAUAUAUAUAUAGGCGAAUUUGACAACAACAUGUUUAAUGGUUUUUCUUUUUAUUAUUGUUAUCCUUUUUUAUAUAUUGGCUAUUUCAUUAAUAACUUAAUGAAUGGCUAUGGUUACAUGUUUUAUAUUACUUCUGUGACGAGUUGUGAAAAUAAUACUACUACUGAUGACUUUACUAAUAAUAUUAGCAUAAAUAAAAACAUUUCUUCUAAUAACUUAUUUAAGUUUUUAUUCGUAACAAAUGGAUGUGAAGAGCAAAACGGACAAUCACGUAAAAAAAAACAAACUACCCAAAACGAAGACAAAAAGAACUACUUGGACAUACCAUUAAAUAACAAAGACAUAAAGCAAAGGUUGUUAUGUACCGUAUAUGAAAAGGUAGAAAGCAUAAUAAACGAAAAGAAAGUGGCAAAAAUCCAAUGCUCUUAUGAAAAAAAAGAUGAAAAAAAUGAAGAAAAAGAAGAAGAAGAAGAAAAGCAAGAAAAACACGAACAUAAAUUACUCAACCGAAUCGAAGCAGAUAUAUUUAACAGUUUCAAAUCCAGAAUAAAAAGAAAAAAAAAAUUAAAAAAAUUAAAAACUUUUUUUUAUACAAAUCAAAAAGAAAAUUUAUUUGAUAUAUUUAAAUAUAUAUCUUGUGAUAAUUUAUUUUUUAAAGGUUAUUUUUAUAACAAUACUUAUUCAAAUAAUAUAGAACAACAAAUGUUAUACAAAAAUAUGUUUGUAACUUUUUAUAAAAAUGAAAUAAUUGCUAAAAUAAGUUCGAUAAAAAAUGCAAUACUUAAUGAAUUAAUGCACGAAGACUUUUUUAUAAUCGAAAAUAAUGAUUUUUAUGUGUUAGAGAAAUGUAAAAAUUGCGUUGUAGAUAUAGGCAAAAAUCAGGGAACAAAAAAUGAUGCAAGUAAUGAGCAAAAAGAAACGAAAGGUAGCCCAAGUGAAGCGAAUUCAACACCAAGCGAAACACACGACAAGUUAAUUAAUACUAUAUUGCAACAUGAACAUUUAAAAAACAUAAUAGAUAUAAAUUUGUUAAAAGAUAUUUUUCUUUUAACGAAUAUUAACAAUUUUGAAUAUUCGGUGCAAGUAAUCAUUGAUAAAAAACUUAUAAAAUAUAAAAGUAUAUACACUAAAUUAAAUGUUAUUAAUAAAGAAAAUGCUUUUAAUAAAGCUACUUUAAAUUUAAAUGGCUAUAAUCAACUAGUUGUGUUAA
rnacentral:lncRNA from 1 species